rnacentral:misc_RNA from 1 species
GUCCGUAAAGGUGGAUGAGUGGUGUUUGGUUUGUUACGUGUGGUUGGCUGCGGCGUUUGCAACAACUUCCAUGCUUUCAGACCUCUUCAGUUGUGCGGCAAGGCUUGUAUCGCCUUGAGCGUAUWGUGGGUUUUCUGUGUUGGCUACCUAAUCAACGGUAUCGGUUGGAUUGAUCAAAGUUUGAUUUCGUCUUCCGUCRCAUUCGYGGCGUGAGGUGAACCUCGAUGCGGUCUCUUUGAUCCACCUCGUCGAAGCACAUGCUUUGACGUUGUGGCGCAUUGAGCAUUGCUUGGUCUCUUGUAUACGGAACAUAUAGUGGGCAUGGAUCUAACGAUUCUCGUUUGCCCUCAUAUUAGCGUAACGCUUCUCUUACACGACUUGCUCCACGUUUUAGCUCGUACGGACGUGGUGCUAUGUCGAAGAGGAAUGCUACCUGGUUGAUCCUGCCAGUAGUCAUAUGCUUGUCUCAAAGAUUAAGCCAUGCAG